GAUGAACGCUAGCGGCAGGCCUAAUACAUGCAAGUCGAACGGUGUCUUCGGACAUAGUGGCGCACGGGUGCGUAACACGUAUGCAACCUACCUUACAUUGGGGGAUAGCCUUUCGAAAGGGAGAUUAAUACCGCAUAAGACAGUAGCUGGGCAUCCAACAGCUGUUAAAGAUUUAUCGAUGUAAGCUGGGCAUGCGUCCAAUUAGCUAGUUGGUGAGGUAACGGCUCACCAAGGCAAUGAUUGGUAGGGGAACUGAGAGGUCAAUCCCCCACACUGGCACUGAGAUACGGGCCAGACUCCUACGGGAGGCAGCAGUAGGGAAUAUUGGGCAAUGGACGCAAGUCUGACCCAGCCAUGCCGCGUGCAGGAUGAAGGCGUUAUGCGUUGUAAACUGCUUUUAUACAGGAAGAAACGACUCUUGCGAGAGGCAUUGACGGUACUGUAUGAAUAAGCACCGGCUAACUCUGUGCCAGCCGCCGCAGUAAGAC
rnacentral:rRNA from 1 species